ACCUAGGCUGAGGCCACUUGUCCCGUGGGACCAGGAACCCGGCGUGAUUCCGGGGCGGUUCCGCCACUGUGAGGCCCGACGUCGCGACCCCGGUCGCGCCGCGGGCCGAGCCAGACACUGACCACGGGGCGUCCAACAGU
rnacentral:ncRNA from 2 species